rnacentral:rRNA from 1 species
GAUGAACGCUGGCGGCGUGCUUAACACAUGCAAGUCGAACGGUGAAGGCGGAGCUUGCUCUGCUGGAUCAGUGGCGAACGGGUGAGUAACACGUGAGCAAUCUGCCCCUGACUCUGGGAUAAGCGCUGGAAACGGCGUCUAAUACUGGAUACGAGCUGCGAAGGCAUCUUCAGCAGCUGGAAAGAACUUCGGUCAGGGAUGAGCUCGCGGCCUAUCAGCUUGUUGGUGAGGUAACGGCUCACCAAGGCGUCGACGGGUAGCCGGCCUGAGAGGGUGACCGGCCACACUGGGACUGAGACACGGCCCAGGCUCCUACGGGAGGCAGCAGUGGGGAAUAUUGCACAAUGGGCGAAAGCCUGAUGCAGCAACGCCGCGUGAGGGACGACGGCCUUCGGGUUGUAAACCUCUUUUAGCAGGGAAGAAGCGAAAGUGACGGUACCUGCAGAAAAAGCGCCGGCUAACUACGUG